rnacentral:lncRNA from 10 species
GCGCCAUGCAGUUUGGUUUUCAACUGCCUCUGCGCUAUUGCUAUUCGUAGCCCUGCCAGCUGAACCAAGCCUAGAUUAUACAUCUAACUCAGGAUCUGCGGCAAAAGAAACCACCUCACGCCAGCUGGGCUUCUGAUCCCAACAGUGGCUAGAAGACGGUUACUUACAGCUUCAACUUCAAAUGGUUUUGCAUACCAGUGAAACUAGUGACAUCGGCUGGUCUAAAGGACCCCACAAGCAGUUGACUCAAAGAACAAAGUUUCCAAGUUCUGAUUUUCAUACCCCUUCCUCGAUCAAUCAACAACCACAAUUUUCUAGCCCCUUGCCCUUCAUAAUUCUCUUAAAAACCCCAGCCCAGAACCCCUCAGAGAUGGAUUCGAGGGUCUCCUUCCAUCUCCUUGCUCAGCCACCCUACAAUCAUUAAAGGCUUUCUCUGCUGCAAACCUUGCUGUCUUGGUAUAUUGGUAUGUCACUUCACAGUGGGCAUACAAAACUGUUGGUCCUGUAACAGUAUACAUCUAUUGGUUUGGGAUGCCAGCAUUCCUUACCCACUUCUGGUAACAUCACCUCUUUCUCUUAGAGAAUCCUCUGACAUCUUGUGGUCUUCAAAAGGCCUCCCA